CCUACGGGGGGCUGCAGUAGGGAAUAUUGGACAAUGGGCGAAAGCCUGAUCCAGCCAUGCCGCGUGAUAGAUGAAGGCCCUCUGGGUUGUAAAUAUCUUUUAUCUGGGAAGAAACAAUCUUAUUCUUAAGAUCUUGACGGUACCAGAGGAAUAAGCACCGGCUAACUCCGUGCCAGCAGCCGCGGUAAUACGGAGGGGGCAAGCGUUAUCCGGAUUCACUGGGUCGAAGGGGUGCGGAGGCGGGCGUAGAGAACGCUCCGAGCUUAACUUGGAAACUGCCAUUGCUACUGCCAGUCUUGCAUGUCGUAGAGGUAAGCUGAAUGUUGCAUGUAGCGGUGAAAUGCUUAGAUAUGUUACAGAACACCAAUUGCGAAGGCAGCUUACUAUGCGAUGAUUGACGCUGAGGCACGAAAGCGUGGGGAGCAAACAGGAUUAGAUACCCUUGUAGUC
rnacentral:rRNA from 1 species